AUGAAAUAAGACACUGUUUUAACUGUUCUCAGAAAGCUGAUCGUAUUGAGUAUAUAUGUUCAAGAUAAUUGAGCAAAAGCAGGAACAUGAGUAUUUUGUAGGAUAAAAUCACGGUACAAUGAUUACACAAAUGAUUCACUCAGCUGUAGCUGCUGCAGUACUGUUAUCACAAUGUACAAACACUCUGAAAACUAAACUACAGAAAUUUGAAAAUGAGAAAAAUACAUGCAUUAUAAGUGGAACACAGAUUGAAACAUUUUUUGCAAGAACAGUACGCGAAUGUGCAAGCUUGUGUGCCAUCGAUGAUAACUGCUACUCUGCUAACUUUAAAUCCGUUUCAGGACAGUGCCAUUUUUACUCCACUUUCUAUCCGAACACGGACCCCCUUUUCGGAUAUGAAACCAUCAGAAAGAUCCCAGUUACAGGAACAAGCCAGACAGAGUUAUUGUCUACUCCAUCUGUAGACGUAAAAACAAUUGAAUCAACUCAUCAGGUGACCAGUAUUUCUACAAUUGAAGGAACAAGCCAGACAAAUUUAUUGUCUACUUCGUCAGCAGAAGUAACAACAAUUGGACCAACUAAUCAUGUGACCAGUACUUCUCCAA